rnacentral:lncRNA from 1 species
AGGGGACACCGCUCUCCGUGGUACUGCAGAGAGCGCAGCUCCGCCCUUCUCGCAGAAGGACAGCACCCGGUAUCACGUAACCCAGCCUCCUCCUUUUCCACCACCACCACCUCCUCCUCCUCUCUUCUCUCCUCUUCUCCUCUCCUCCUCCUCCCCUCCUUUGCCUGUUCUCCCUUCCCUCACUCCUAGAGAUAGACGCUCAAGCCUGACGCCUCUGAAAACGCAGCAGCAGUCGCCUUAGAGCCAGAGACCUCGGGAAAUUCUCUUUGACCGAUGCAUGCUUCUGGUUCUGCCAAGAGCUAAAAGGAAAAUCCAAGCAGGCAGAUUUCUGGGUCACAAAAAAAAAAAAAAAGCCAAAAAAAAAAAACAAACCAACAACAACAACACAUCGACAUGCGCCCAGAUUGAUCUUGGUCUUGCAUGGAAGGAGGGAAAAGAAGAGGAGCUGUUGAGCUUUACAAUUAAAGGAGCUCUCUUUCUAUUUGACAGCUUUUGGGCUUCAACCCCACUGUUGGGGAGAAGAAAAAAAGGGGGAUUUUUAAAAAUAGCUUGGGAAGUCAUGAUCAAGGAGGCUAACAUUCUGCCUUGGCUACAGUGGGACCAAUGUUUUGUGAUCUGACAGCAUAACCUCUAUUGGCAGGCAAGUCUGGAAUUGAUAAUUGAUGUUCUAAAGAAGAUAAGGACCUUUUUUCCCCCUUACUGGGGACUAUCCAUUUUGGGGGUAACAUGUGAAGAUAUAUGUAUUCAGGCAUGUGGAAAUAUUAAUAUUAGGUUGUCAAACAUCUGAGAAGUUUGGUGUUUUGUUUUUUCCUAUUCAUCUGUCCUGUCUCCACCACCAAAAGAAUCUGAAGGAUUGUUGCAUUUGGGAGUGGAAGCAUCUGCUGACUCAUUCAUUGAACCAACAGCCCAUAUCUUCUACCUAAGUGAUCAGCAUUUUUUUUCUUUGUUCUUGAUAAAGUUUUUAGCACAUUUCCUCAAGGUGUAUUUACAUCUUGGCCUGGAAGUUCUGUGGCUAUACUAUACUACUAGGGCCGACAUUUUCCAGUGGGGUAGAAAAUAUAGAGAGGUUGAGAGGUUUUUGAAAAAAAAAGAAAAAAAGAGGGUUUCAGGUAAAGGAGUGAGCAUUCCUACUCCAGCCAUUGUCUUUACUAUUCCUGCCACUUUUUAUUCCCUGAUACCCUCCCUAAUUCCACCUUAGGGUGUCCAGGAAGAUUUUGAACCUGUCCACCCCUGUGUCUCCGC